rnacentral:rRNA from 1 species
GUAAAUUCUGUCCAUGGCUAAAUACGGGCAAAAGAACAAUAGCAAACAUGUACCGUGACGGAUAGAUGAAAAGGACUUUGGAAAGAGAGUCAAAGAGUGCUUGAAAUUGUUAGAAGAGAAGUAGAUAGGGGCUCAUGAUGCAUUUCAAUCAGAUUUGGAAUGAUGAGAGCUAGUUCAUUGAUCAGCACAGGGCAUGGAUUGACACAGGUCAUGGCAGAGUCCCAAGCCCAAGCUUUCAAUAUACGUACAAAGACAUUGUCAUUGCGAUCGUAGAAUGUAGCACACGCCAUUUUAACAUGCCUCAGCACGGUGUCCUCCCGGUGUUAGCCUACAAGCUCCCCAUCCAGCCCAUUUUGAAAUGUGAAACAAAUAGUCUAACAUGUGUGCGAGUCAAUGGGCUAGUUAACUCAUAAAGUGCAAGAAAGCUGAUUGGCAAGAUCCCUCUCAAGUGCACCAUCGACUAACCUUAAUCUUCUAAGAAGGGUUCGAGUGUGAGCAUGCCUGUUGGGACCCAAAAGAUGGUGAACUAGUCCUAAGCAAGGCAAAGCCAGAAAAACUCUGGUGGAGGCCCACAAUGAUAUUAAUGUGCAAAUAGUUCAUCUGACUUGGGUGUAGGUGUGAAAGACUAAUCGAACCAUCUAGUAGUUGGUUCCCUUUAAAGUUUCCCUCAAGAUAGCUAGAGCCCUUAGCGAGUUCUAUUAGGUAAAGCCAAUGAUUAGAGGCAUCAGUAAGGUAAUGCCCUUAACCUAUUCUCAAACUUUAAAAAGGUAGGAUGGUAUGGCUACUUCAUUGAGCAAAACUUACGAUGCGGGAUGAACAGAAAGAAUGGUUAUGAUGCUUAAUUAUGCGUUAACCUAGAACCUGCAAUGGAUGUUGUCAAUUAAGAUAGCAUAAUGGUGGUCAUAGAAGUCAAAAUUCGCUAAAAAGUGUAUAAUAAUUCACUUGCCGAAUCAACUAGCCUAAAAAAUGGAUGGCACAUAAGUGUGCAACCUAUACCAACUAUCGGGGCAAGGGCUAGGCCUUAAUGAGUAGGAGGGCACAAUGGUUUCCAUAAAACUCAGGGCACAAGCCCGAGCAAAGUGGCCAUCAAUGUAGAUCUUGGUGGUAGUAGCAAAUAUUCAAAUGAAAACUUUGAAGGUCGAAGAAAGGAAAGGUUCCAUGUGAAUGGCAAUUGCACAUGGGUUACUUGAACUUAAGAAACGGGGGAAACCCGUUUGACAGUGCAUUCAACUUAAGCUUCAAAAGAGAAUCAGGUUAAAAUUCUUGAAUUGGAUCAUGAUAGUUUAUAACAAUGUUAGAGAGUCUAGAAACGUUGGUGGAAGCCUCAAGAAGAGUUAUCUUUUCUGUUCAAUGGCCUACCCACCCCAGAAAUGGCACAGCCAGAGGUAGGGUCCAGUGGUCUAAAAAGUAUCGUACAUCACAUGGUGUCUAGUGUGCCUCUAGUGGCCCUUGAAAAUCUAGAGGAUCGAGUGCCAUCUAUACUCAAUCAUACUUAUAAUCACAUCAGGCCUCUAAAGUGAAUAGCCUCUGGUCGAUAGAAUAAUAUAGGUAAGGGAAGUCGACAAAAUGGAUCCAUAACCUCAGGAAAAAGAUUAGCUCCGAGGGCUGGGUAUGAGGGGCCCAGUCUUAAAUUUGUUGAUUGCCAGUGCUCUACUCGAGCUACUCCCAUGGCAAAAGUAAGUUGUCACGUGCUGGUUAAGAGAUGGAUAGGGAAUGGCUCUUUUGAGAGCCUUUCUCAAGUAAUGAACAGUCAACUCAGAACUAGUACGAACAAGGGGAAUUUGACUAUUUAAUUAAAAUAAAGCAUUGUGAUGGUCUUUGUGGAUGCUCACACAAUGUGAUUUCUGUCCAAUGUUCUAAAUGUCAAAGUGAAGAAAUUUAGCUAAGCAUGAGUAAAUGACAGGGGUAACUACGACUCUCUUAAGGUAGCCAAAUGCCUCAUCAUUUAAUUAGUGAUGUGCAUGAAUAAAUUAAUGAGAUUCCUACUGUCCCUAUCUACUAUCUAGCAAAACCACAGCCAAUGGAAUGGGCUUCGUUGAAUCAGUGGGAAAAAAAGACCCUGUUGAGCUUGACUCUAGUAUGACUUUGUGAAAUGACUUGAAAGGUGUAGGAUAAGUGGGAGCCCUCGGGUGAAAUUGAAAUACCACUACUUUUAACAUUAUUUUACUUAUUCUGUGAAUCAAAGGCAGGGCACAACCCUUUCUUUUAGACUCAAAGUCAACCUUGAUCAGUUGAUCUAAGUGGAAGACAUUGUCAGUUAGGCUGGGGUGACACAUUUGUUAAAAGAUAAUACAAAUGUCCUAAGAUGAGCUUAAUGAGAAUAAAAAUCUUGUAUGGAAUAAAAGGUUAAAAGCUCGUUUGAUUCUGAUUUUUGAUACGAAUAUGAACCAUAAAAGCAUGGCCUAUCGAUCCUUUAGGCCUUCAAAAAUUGAAGCUAAAGGUGUUAGAAAAGUUACCACAAGGAUAUCUGGCUUAUGGUAGCCAAGCGUUCAUAGCAAUAUUGCUUUUUAAUCAUUCAAUGUUGGCUUUUCCUAUCAUUGUGAAGCAGAAUUCACCAAGUGUUGGAUUGUUCACCCAUCAAUAGGGAACAUAAGCUGGGUUUAGACUAUCAUGAGACAGGUUAGUUUUACUCGACUGAUGGCAGCAUCGCAAUAGUAAUUUAACCUAGUACGAGAGGAAUUGUUGAUUCGCAUAAUUGGUCAUCACGCUUGGUUGAAAAACCAAUGGUGCGAAGUUACCAUAUGCUAGAUUAUGACUAAACACCUCUAAGUCAAAAUCAGGGCUAAAAGUAAUGCACUCGUUCGACUCUCGAUUGUCGACCUGUAGGUAAGGCCUAUGGCCCCUAAAGGCACGUGUCGUAAGUGCAAUCCCAGUGGCAGAUAAGCUGUGUGGGCCUUCAUAAAGCUUAAUUCUCACCAAG